UAUAUACAUAUAUGUAUAUACAUACAUACAUACGUAUGUAUAUACAUAUAUGUAUGUAUGUAUAUACAUAUAGAUGUAUUUUUUUUUUUCUGAGACUGAGUCUUGGUCUAUCACCCAGGCUGGGGUGCAGUGGCACGAUCUUGGCUCACUGCAACCUCUGCCUCCCCAGUUCAAGCCAUUCUCCAGCCUCAGUCUCCCGAGUAGCUGGGACUACAGGCGCCUGCCAUCACGCCUGGCUAAUUUUUGUAUUUUUAGUAGACACAGGGUUUCACCACGUUGGCCAGGCUUGUCUCGAACUCCUGGCCUCAAGUGAUCCGCCUGCCUCAGGCUCCGAAAGUGCUAGGAUUACAGAUGUGAGCCUGUGAGCCACCACACCCAGCCUGGUGUUGUGUUUGCAAGCAACAUGGAGUUUGGCCCACUAUGGAGGUGGAAGACAUUCCCUCCUAAUGGUGGUGGCAGGUCACAUGUAAGGCCAGUGAGUAAACUGGAUGUCCAAGAAGCCAGGGUGGGCAGCAGAGGCAUGGUCAGCUAGUGCAGUGUCCUCUAGAGAGGCUGCUGAGGGGGUGGGAUGGCUGUGGUGUCCCCUCACCCGGGACCUGGUGAGGCCCCCUAAGAUGCUGUCUGUUCCAGGUCUCAGGUGCAGGUAAAGAAAGAUGACUGUAAACAGAAUGUGUAAGACACCAGAGGCCCCCAGACAAGCAGGUCAUUUGAAAAACAUGGUUCAUUGUAUACAAAAAGAAAUCUCUAGGUAGCGGGGCUGCAGGUUUUCAGAGGAAAGGAGGCAGGAGGCUGGGAUGAGGGCUAAAGAGUGCAAACGCAAAUUACAAAAUUAACCGAGUGUGGUGGUGGGCGCCUGUGGUCCCAGCUACUCAGGAGGCUGAGGUGGGAAGAUCACUUGAGCUUGGGAGGUCGAGGCUAUGGUGAGCCAUCAUCACGCCACUGUACUCCAGCCUGGGUGACAGAGGGAGACCCUGUUUCAGAAAAGAAAAAGACGGAGGCCAAGGAACUGGUAAUAUCAAAAGGACGACGAGUGUAACUAGAGGGAACGGAGCUGUAAGGUUGGCUCAAAGCUGCAACCAAGCAAAUGGGCUGCGGCCAAAACUGGGAUGGAUUUGCCUUUUUAUUUAUUUUUUAUUUUUAUUUUAUUUUUUUGAGAUGGAGUCUCACUUUGUCACCCAGGCUGGAGUGCAGUGGUGCAGUCUCGGCUCACAGCAAAUUCCACCUCCCGGGUUCAAGCGAUUCUCCUGCCUCAGCCCCCCAAGUAGCUGGGACUAUAGGCACGCGCCACUACUCCUGGCUAAUUUUUGUUUGUUUGUUUGUUUGUUUGUAUUUUUAGUAGAGACGGGGUUUCACCAUGUUAGCCAGGAUGGUCUCGAUCUCCUGACCUCAUGAUCCACCUGCCUUGGCCUCACAGAGUGCUGGGAUUACAGGUGUAAGCCACUGCACCCAGCCGGAUUUGCCUUUUUAGAACAAAGACGUAGGCAAGCCAAGGGGCUGAUACACAAACCCAGAUUAAGUUUGGAAAAACUGUGGGCAUUGGACACACAUUUUUGCUUCUCUUGAAUAUCUAGGAUUGGGAUGGCUGGAUGGUAUAGGAAGUGUAUGUAUGACUUUAUAAGAAAUUGCCAAAAUCUUUUCCUAAGUAGUUGCACCGUUUGAAUUUUGAAUUUCCACCAGCAAUGCAUGAGAGCGUUCUAGUGGCCCUGAUCCUUACCAGGACCUGCUAUUAUCAGUGCUUAUGAUUUUUUGUGUUUUUUUUGAGACAGAGUCUCGCUCUGUCACCCAGGCUGGAGUUAGUGGCGUGAUCUCGGCUCACUGCAACCUUCACCUCCCAGAUUCAAGCAAUUCUCCUGCCUCAGCAUCCUGAGUAGCCAAUAUUACAGGUGUGCACCACCACACCCAGCUAAUUUGUUGUAUUUUUAGUAGAGAUGGGGUUUCACCAUGUUGGUCAAGCUGGUCUCGAACUCCUGACCCCAAAUGAUCAACUCACCUCGGCCUCCCAAAGUGCUAGGAUUACAGGCGUGAGCCACCAUGCCCAGCAAGUUGUGUUUGUUUGUUUGUUUGUUUUUAGCACAAAGUAUUGGCUGGGCACGGUGGCUCACACCUGUAAUCCCAGCACUUUGGGAGGCUGAGGUGGGAGGAUCACUUGAGGCCAGGAGUUUGAGACCAGGCUUGGGCAACAUAGUGGGACUUUAUGCCUACAAAAAAUUUUUAAAAAUUAGCUAGGUGGGGUGGUGUGUGCACCUGUAAUCCCAGCUACACGGGAGGCUGAGGUGGGAGGAUCAUUUGAGCCUGCGAGUUUGAGGCUACAGUGAACUAUGAUUGCACCAUUGCACUCCAGCCUAGGUGACAGAGCAAGACUCUGUCUCCCCGCCCCACCCCCCCAAAAAAAGGAUCAGGUAAUGUGUACAAGUUUUUGUUUGAAGACCUGUCUUCAGUUCUUUUGGGUAGGUACCUAGGGGUGGAAUGACUGGGUCAUAUAUAUGCUAAUUCUGUGCUUAAUUUUUUGAGGAACUGCCAAACUGUUUUACACAGUGGCUGGACCAUUGUACAUUCUCACCAGCAAUGUACGGGGGUUCCGAUUUCUUCACAUCCAUGCCAAACACUUUUUAUUCGCAGUUUGUUUUCUUUUCUUUUUCUUUUUCUUUUGAGAUGGAGUUUAGCUCUUGUUGUCCGGGCUGGAGUGCAGUGGCACAAUCUUGGCUCACCGCAACCUCUGCCUCCCGGAUUCAAGCGAUUCUCCUGCCUCAGGCUCCUGAGUAGCUGGAAUUAUAGGUGCCUGCCACCAUGCCCGGCUAAUUUUUGUAUUUUUAGUAGAGAUGGGGUUUCACCAUGUUGGCCAUGGUGGUCUCCAACUCCUGACCUCAGGUGAUCCACCUGCCUUGACCUCCCAAAGUGCUGGGAUUACAGGCGUGAACCACUGCGCCCAGCCCAGUUUAUUUUCUUGAUCGUAGCCAUCCUAGUGGCUGUGGAGUGGUGUCCCAUUGUGGUUUUGGUUUGCAUUUCCCUAAGGACUAGUGAUGCUGAGCGUCUUUUCAUGUGUUUUGACCAUUCUCACAUUCUUUUUUUUUUUUUUUUUUUGAGACAGGGCUGGAAUGCAGUGGCAUGAUCGUAGCUCACUGCAUCCUUGAACUCCUGGGCUCAGGAGAUUCUCCCACCUCAGUCUCCUGAGUAGCUGGGACUACAGUUGUAUGCCACCGUGCCCACAUAAUUUAUAAAAAAAUUUUAGUAGAGACGGGAUCUUACUAUGUUGCCCAGGCUGGUCUCAAACUCCUGAGCACAAGUGAUCCUCCUGCCUCAGCCUCCUGAGUAGCUGGGAUUACAGAUGCACGCCACUAUACCCAGCUAAGUUUUUAUUAUUAUUUUUUUUAAUAGAGAUGGGUUUCAUUAUGUUGUUCAAGCUGGUCUGGAACUCCUGGGUUCAAGCGAUUCUCCUGCCUUGGCCUCCCAAAGUGCUGGGAUUACAGGUGUGAGCCACUGCGCCCAGCCUUAUGCGUUCUUUGGAAGAAACGGCUUUUGGGUAAUGGCUUGCACUGUUGUGUUGUAUCAGCUGCCGUCCAGUCGAAGCUAACUAAGGGCAGGUGGGUGUUGAAUGAGGACAAAGCCCACCUGCCCUUAGUUAGCUGUGACUGCAAGAACAAAGACCCUGUUAUCCCAAUCAUCAUCAUGAGGACUAGCUGGGCCGCAGCUUAAAGGGACAUUUCAUAGCUUAAAAAAGACAAACUGUUGGCCCUGCCACCUCCAACUACAAAGGUGUCGCAACUGAUAAGCCUUUUGGGAUCUUGAAGAGGCCACAUCUCACGUGUGGAAAUUUCACUAAUGCGGCUGCAGCAAGUGACCAGACAGAUGGCCGCAUUUGAGUGGGAGCCUCUUUAGCAAGAGCUUUUUAAAAUCAAGCUCCACCCAGGAGCUCUUUAUCUUCUUCAGAACCCACGGGAUUACAGACGUCUGCACCAGCCCUUGUGGGACCUUGGAGUCCAGGAGAAUGAAUACGAAGGCACUGAUGCUCAUGCUCCCUGCUGGCUGGUGAGUAAUAAAGUCCCUUGUCUCUGGCCCAGGAGUCUUGUGUCUUCUGGCAACAUUUGUGAAACAGUAAUGGGCUAGCUUGUUUUAUUUUUAUUUUUAUUUUUUAUUUUAUUGAUUGAUUCAUUGAAUUAGGGACAGGGUCUCACUCUGUUACCCAGGCUGGAGUGCAAGGUGCACUCCAACCUGGGCUCAAGUGAUCCUCCCACCUCAGCCUCCCGAGUAGCUGGGACUACAGGUGCGUGCCACUAUGCCCAACUAAUUUUUUACAUUUUGUAGAGACAGGGUCUGGCUACAUUGCCCAGAGUGGUCUCGAUCUCCUAGGCUCAAGGGAUCCUCCUGCUUCAGCCUCCCAAGGUGCUGGGAUUACAGGCAUGAGCCACUGCACCCAGCCCAGGCUGGCUUGUAAGUAGGACAAAAUGAAAGUCCGGACCUGGUAGUGUUGAAAAGGAUGGGAUGUUGACAAAGGCGUGGCUUUCUGGAAUUGGAAGGACAGGGCCUCCAUGGGCCUGGUUCAAAAAUAUGAGAAGAAUCCCUGGGAUCCAGUAGGGAAUUCUCUCAUCCAAGUAGAGGAGGAUGGCCAGGAAUAGAGGUCUUCACUGUCCUACUUGUAUUUUUUUUUUUUUUUUUUAGAUGGAGUUUCACUGUUGUUGCCCAGGCUGGAGUGCAGUGGUGCAACCUCGGCUCACUGCAACCUCCGCCUCCUGGGUUCAAGCGAUUCUCCUGCCUCAGCCUCCCGAGUAGCUGGGAUUACAGGCAUGCGCCACCACGCCCGGCUAAUUUUGUAUUUUUAGUAGAGACGGGGUUUCUCCAUGUUGGUCAGGCUGGUCUCGAACUCCCGACCUCAGGUGAUCCACCUGCUUCGGCCUCCCAAAGUGCUGGGAUUGCAAGCAUGAGCCACCGCGCCCGGCCUGUCCUACUUGUUAAUGAGGCUCAGUGGCUACAGAUAGGAUCAAAAUCAGUGGGCAAAACAGUGGGCAAAUGGUGCCUGGCUGCACCUGGGUUCUUACCCUUCUCCAGGCAGGUGGAGGAAGAAAUGGGAUCAUGAAAAUGAGGCAACAAGCCCCAGGGACCCAACCAAGAGGCAGCAUGGCUGUGGCCGCUGGGUCAAAGGGUCUCUGAAACUGAAGUGGUAUCAGCAACAAGGACCUUGUUAUUUGUUUCUUUGUUUUGAGACAGGGUCUUGCUCUGUCACCCAGGCUGAAGUACAGUGGCGCAAACAUGGCUCACUGUAGCCUCAAACUCCCAGGGCCAAGGGGUCCUCCCCACUCAGCCUCCCGAGUAGCUGGGACCACACGUAUGCACCACUACACCCAGCUAAUUUAAAAUUUUUUUGUAGAGAUGAGGUCUCGCUAUGUUUCCCAGGCUGGUCGUGAGCUCCUGAGCACAAGUGAUGCAAUCACCUUGGCCUCCGAAAGCCCUGAGAUUACAGGCAUGAGCCACUAUGCCCUGCCUUGCUAUUUGAUAUUGAGCCUUCAGUGGGCUGAAAACAUUAGUGAAGAUCCCACCCUGCGAGUGUUUCUGGCCCCACCACGGUCCAAUUUGGAUCCAGUCCACAGCUGGGUGCAGGGCUGGUCAAAGAUGCUGAGGACUGGGAGGGCUGAGCCUGGCCAUCUGUGGAAGAGCAGAAAGAGAGGGGCCUCUGUUCCCAAGAACUUGCUGGGUCCUGGGAGGUACCUGGGUUGCAGCUCUGGCACUGAUCCUGGAGGGAGGAGCCAAGUGAGCCGAUAGAGAGGUCAGUAAUGAAGUUUUUUUGUUGUUUGUUUUUUGAGAUGGAGUCUUGCUGUGUCGCCCAAGCUGGAGUGCAGUGGCAUGAUCUUGGCUCACGGCAAGCUCUGCCUCCUGGGUUCAUGCCAUUCUCCUGCCUCAGCCUCCCCAGUAACUGGGACUACAGGUGCCCGCCACCAUGCCUGGCUAAUUUUUUGUAUUUUUUAUAGAGACGAGGUUUCACCGUGUUAGCCAGGAUGGUCUCGAUCUCCUGAUCUCAUGAUCCACCCGCCUCUGCCUCCCAAAGUGCUGGGAUUACAAGCGUGAGCCACCAUGCCUGGCCUUUUUUUUUUUUUUUUGAGAUGGAGUUUCACUCUUGUUGCCCAGACUGGAGUGCAAUGACGCGAUCUCUGCUCACUGCAAGCUCCGCCUCCCAGGUUCAAGCAAUUCUCCUGCCUCAGCCUCCUGAGUAGCUGGGACUACAGGUGUGCACCACCACGCCUGGCUAAUUUUGUAUUUUUGGUAGAGACGGAGUUUCUCCAUGUUGGUCAGUCUGGUCUUGGACUCCUGACCUCAAGUGAUCCACCCGCCUCGGCCUCCCAAAGUGCUGGAACUACAGGUGUGAGCCACCGCGCCCGACCAACAGUGAGUUUUUUUCCCCUGCCUUUGCUGUCCCCCUGGGAUGCCCCCCAGCCCCAAGCUGCUCCAGGGCUGAGGCUGCAGUCCCUGACCCACAGACUUCUUGGUCCAAGUACCUGAAUUCAACGAAUCAGGCUCCCAGUGGGAAGGGAAGCUGAAGAGAUCUCAUUGGGUGUGGCACCUAGAGCCAAUUCAAUAUCCCGCUGUGUGGUUUCCACGACUAAGCGGGUAUAGUUGGUACUGAUGCUUUACAUGCUCGAACUACACAUGCCUUGUUAUCAGAGGAUUCUACCAGUCGGAGGCUGUGGCAUAUGCUGCCCUCUUCACCUCUACCAGAAACAAUGUGGGAUCCCAGUAGAAAAGGAAACACAACUGUAAUGACUAAAUGGCUGCUAGAGUGCUCCGGGAAGCCGUUUCCCAGUGCCACAGUGCCACCUGCCUGACACGGCCACCAAGUACACUCCUUUUAAAAAGAAAGGGCAGCUGGGCUGGGUGCGGUGGCUCACACCAAGAGGUGGGUGGAUCGCUUGAGUCCAGGAGUUCAAGACCAGCCUGGGCGACAUAGUGAAAACCCAUCUCUUUUUUUUAAAUUAAAAUUUUAUUUAUUUAUUUUGAGACAGAGUCUUGCUCUGUGACCAGGCUGGAGUGCAGUGGUAUGAUCUCAGUUCACUGCAACCUCCACCUCUGGGGUUCAAGCGAUUCUCCUGCCUCAGCCUCCCCAGUAGCUGGGAUUACAGGCACCUGCCACCAUGCCCAGCUAACUUUUGUAUUGUUAGUAGAGACCGGGUUUCACCAUGUUGGUCAGGAUGGUCUCGAUCUCUUGACCUUGGGAUCUACCCACCUCUGCCUCACAAAGUGCUGGGAUUACAGGCGUGAGCCACCGUGCCCGGCCCUGUCUCUCUUCUAAUAAAUAAUAAAAAAAGAAAAGAAGGCCGCUAUGAAUCACUAUUAAGCUCUCCUUGAAAGCAAACGCCUGGCUUGUGGUGGCCUUUGACUCCCCAGCCUCACACCCUCGUUCUCAGGUAGGUUAACUGCAGCUUCACUAGCAAUACCGGAAAUGGCCAAAGGUAAAGGGUACGUCUAAGAGCACAGCUGGUCUGGUCCUCAGGUCUGAGUUUUACAUACAAAAGUCACAGCUACCCCUGUUUCUUCUGUUUUCUGUUUCGAGACGGUCUUGCUGUGUUGCCCAGGCUGGAGUGCAGUGGCAUGAUCGUGGCUCACUGCAGCCUGGAACUCCUGGGCUCAAGCGAUCCUCCCACCUCAACCUCCUGAGUAGCUGGGACUAUAGGCAUGCGCCAGCAUACCCGGUUAAUUUUUUAAUUUUUUUUUUUUCCCAGAGACAUAGUCUCGCUGUGUUGCCCAUGCUGGUCUUGAACUCCUGGGCUCAAGCAAUCCUCCUGCCACGGCCCCAAAGUGCUGGAAUUACAAGUGUGAGCCGCCGCACCCGGCAGCAGCUACCCCAUUUGGAGAAAACUCUCUUCCACUCCCCUGCCUGAGGCAAUUCCUCUGGCUCAAUGGGGCCCUCAAUUCAAAAGGGUUCCCUUAAACGGCUGGGCGCAUUCCACUAUGUUAAACCUAAAGAUGUCCACUAGGGGGCAGCAACCACCUAACCCCAACACCAACUCCGGAAGACAUUGAUUGCAGUUUGGUUGACAUUUAAGGACCCAGGGAUGGAGCAGUGUCCUCACUCAUUGCACUCACCCUACCCAGGAUCUGCCAUGAACUUUGUGGGGAUGAAGGGGUCUUUGCCCAGGAAGUCACUGAGCAGUAUGGCUUCUAGAAGACGCCUCCCCCCGCCGAGCUGCCUUAACCGCGUUUGACAUUCAAAGACGCAGGUGAUGUCACCCCCUCCCACUGACAACACAGUAAGGGCCGAGUUCUCUGAGGCUUCUUGGGCCGUGGCCCGGGGAAAGCAGGUGACCCGCCUCCCAGUGCCGGGUGGGCAAGGAACUGGACCCCGAGCAAGGACCGAGGGCAAGGAACUCGACCCCGAGCAAGGACCAGGCACGACGGUGAGCUAGAGAGGACCUACAUGCCAGGUUCGGUUCUGGGCACAUUACCCUCUGUUUAUUUUCUUAUUUUUAUUUAUUUAGAGAUAGAGUCUCACUCUGUUGCCCAGGCUGGAGUGUAGUGGGGUGAUCUUGGUUCACCACAACCUCCACCUCCCAGGUUCAAGCAAUUCUCCUGCCUCAGCCUCCCAAGUAGCUGGGACUACAGGCGUGCACCACCACAUCUGGCAAAUUUUUAAAUUUUUUUUAGUAGAGAUGGGGUUUCGCCCUGUUGGCCAGACUGGUCUUGAACUCCUGACCUCAGGUGAUCCGCCUGGCUUGGUCUCCCAAAGUGCUGGGAUGAUACUGUGCCUGGCCUUGCUUUAUUUGUAGAGAGAUGAGGUCUCACUCUGUUGCCCAGGCUGGAGUGCAGUGGCGAUUCAUAGGCAUGGUCCUCAUGGGCUACAGCCUCAGACUCAAACCUCAGCCUGAGUAGCUAGGACUCCAUGCGUGCACUGCGCCGGGCUCAGCACCCCACAGUGGUGAGAGUUGUUACGGUGAUUUAGUGUGGCCGUCGGUUACUCAGGUAGACUUGGUUUGUUGUCCUUGACUGCUGCGCCGUCCUCCAUAGCAUGCAUUUAAGAUCCACAUUUUAUAUUUGAUUCCCUAAAUAAUGAGACAGCUUCUUGUAAUCACAAACAUGAUCCAAACAUGAUCACGAUGAACCAUCCGUUUCUAGGGUCUGUGUGAGAAGUUUCCUGUGCUUGGGAAUGGAGUCACUGGCCCGUAAAUCUGUGCUUAAUUUUUUUUUUUUUUUUUUUUUUUUUGAGUCCGAGUCUCGCUCUCAGUCUCGCUUUGCCCAGGCUGCAGUGCAAUGGCACAGUCUCAGCUCACUGCAACCUCUGUCUCCUGGGUUCAAGCAAUUCUCCUGCCCCAGUCUCCUGAGUAGCUGGGAUGACAGGUGUCUGCCACCACGCCCGGCUAAUUUUUUGUAUUUUUAGUAGAGACAGGGUUUCACCAUGUGGGCCAGACUGGUCACGAACUCCUGACCUCAUGAUCCGCCUGCCUCAGCCUCCCAAAGUGCUGGGAUUGCAGGUGUGAGCCACCGCGCCCGGCCUACUUCACUUAAUUAAAUGCUGCAGAUUUUCAGCUGUCUUCUGUUCUGGUUGGAAGCUGUCUCAAUCAAAACAUGGCGAAACCCCAUCUCUACUAAAAAUUUAAAAAUACCCUGGCUCAUUUUGCAUUUUUAGUAGAGACGAGGUUUCACCAUGUAGGUCAGGCUGGCCUUAAACUCCUGACCUCAGGUGAUCCGCCUGCCCCGGCCCUCCCAAAGUGCUGGGAUUACAGGUGUGAGCCACCGCACCUGGCCCCCAUUGCAGUUUGAGAGGCUUUAUAUAAUAAAGGGCAGAGCACUCAGGAGGCUGCUCUUCUAGGGCUGCAAUGGUCCAGUAUGAUAGCUAUUAGGCACACGUGGCUUUUUUUUUUUUUUUUUUUUUUUUUUUUUUUGAGACAGAGUCUUGCUCCGUCACCCAGCCUGGAGUGCGGUGGCAUGAUCUCGGCUCACUGCAAGGUCCCUGGUUCACGCCAUUCUCCUGCCUCAGCCUCCCGAGUAGCUGGGACUACAGGCACCCGCCACCACACCUGGCUCAUUUUUUUUGUAUUUUUAGUAGAGACGGGGUUUCACUGUGUUAGCCAGGAUGGUCUCGAUCUCCUGACCCCGUGAUCCGCCUGCCUCGGCCUCCCAAAGUGCUGGGAUUACAGACAUGAGCCACCGCGCCUGGCCCCGGCUAUUUUUUUUUUUCCUUUAGACAGUCUUGCUCCGUCACCCAGGCUGGAGUGCAGAGGCGUGAUGACAGCUCACUGCAGCCUCGGCCUCCCGGGCCCAAGCGAUCCUCACGCCCAGCAUCUUGAGUAGCUGGGACCACAGGCAUGUGCCACCAUGACCAGCUAAUUUAAUUUUUUUUUUUUUUUUUGUAGAGACACGGUCUCCCUAUGUUGCCCAGACUAGUCUCAAACCCCUGAGCUCGAGCGAUCUUCCUGUCUUGGCCUCCCAACGUGUUGGGAUUACAGGCGUGAGCCACCACACCUGGCCAAAACUCAGUUUUUAUUGAGUUAUAAUUUACAGACAACAAGCACAGAUACUAAAUGUAUACUUUAAUGAGUUUUGACAAAUGACCCCUGUCACCAACGCCCCAAUUUCCGUCACUCCAGAGAGUUACUUUGGGUUCCUUUCUCUUCACUGCAGAAGCAAUGACUGAUUUCCAUCACUACAUAUUAGUCUGGCCUGUUCUUGGGUUUCAAAGAUAAUAGAUUCACACAAUACAUAGACAUUUGUGGCUGGCCUGUUACAUUUAAUAUAGAACAUCUUUGCUAACCCCGAGGUCAUAAAGAUAUUCUAUGUUUUCUUCCAGAAGUUUCUAGUUUUGGCUUUUGAAUUUAGGUCUUUGGUUCCUGUUAAUUUGGGGUGGGGGUAUGGUAUGUGGCAGGAAUAUGUUUAUAUUUUUCUAUAUGGCUAUACAGUAGUUCUAGCACUGUUUGUUAAAAAGACUUUCCCUUACCCAUUGAAUUGCUGUGAUAUCUUUAUUGAACAUCAAUUGGUCAUAUGUGUAUAGGUGGAUUUCUGUUCUGUUCUAUUGAUCUUUUGGUUUAUCUUUAGGCUAAUAUAACACUGCCCUGACUACUGUAGCUUUAUAGUAAAUCUUUAAAUUAGAUAGUAUGAGUCUCCAACGUGUUCUUUCUCAAGAUCGUUUGGACUACGUUAGGUCUUUUGCAUUUUUUUUUUUUUUUUUUCGAGAUGGAGUCUUGCUCCAUUGCCCAGGCUGGAGUGCAGUGGUGUGAUCUCAGGUCGUUGCAACCUCCCUGCCUACUGAGUUCCAGCAAUUCUCCUGCCUCAGCCUCCUGAGUAAGUGAAAUUACAGGCACCCAAUACCACGCCCGGCUAACUAUUUUUUAGUAGAGAUGGGGUUUCCUCAUGUUGGCCAGGCUGGUCUCCAACUCCUAACCUCAGGUGAUCCUCCUGCCUUGGCCUCCCAAAGUGCUGGGAUGACCGGCAUAAGCCACUACACCUGGCCGGUCCUUUGCAUUUUCAUGUACAUUUCAGAAUCAGCUUGUCAAUUCCUCAACAAAGCUAGCUGAGAUCUGAAUUGCCAUUGUGUUGAAUCUGUAGAUCAAUUUGGGGAGAACUGAUAUCUUGUUUUUUGAGACAGAGUCUUACUCUGUUACCCAUGCAGGAGUGCAGUGGUGCGAUCUCGGCUCACUGCAGCCUCUGCCUCGCAGGCUCAAGCGAUUCUCCUACCUCAGCCUCCUGAGUAGCUGGGAUUACCGGUGUGUACCACCAUGCCCAGCUAAUUUUUUUGUAUUUUUAGUAGAGACGGGGUUUCACCAUGUUGGCCAGGCUGGUCUCAAACUGCUGAGCUCAAGUAAUCCACCCACCUCGGCCUCCCGAAGUGCUGGGAUUACAGGCGUGAGCCACCACGCCCGGCCUACACUGAUUCUUUGAAUUCAUAAACAAAUAUUUCCAUUUAUUUAGGUUUUUCUCUCAAAAAUACCUUGUAGUUUUCAGUAUAGAGAUUUUUGAAUAUCUUUUGUUAUAGUCUUAGCAUUUGAUUUUUGAGGCUAUUGUAAAUGGUUUUGGUUUUAAAAUUUCAUUUAACUAUGGUUUGUUGCUAGUAUGCAGAAAUGUGAUUAUUUUUGUAUAUUGGCUUUUAUUUUUGUGACUUUCCUAAGUGCACUUAUUCUAGUAGCUUUUUAUUUCUGUAGAUUCCCUAGGAUUUCCUAAUUACAUGCUUAUGACAUCUGUGAAUAAAGACAGUUCUACUUCUUCCUAGCCAGUUUCUAUGCUUUUUAUAUCUUUUUCUUGCCUUCUUUCACUGGCUAGGAACUUCACUAUAGUGUUGAACAGAAGUGGUGUAAAGGGAUUUCCCUUCCCUGUUUUCAGUAUUGGGGAAAGUAUUCAGUAUUUCAUCAUUUACUAUGAUGUUCGCUGUAGCUUUUGUCAUUGUUGUUAAUAUCCUUAACACAAUGAAUGAUUCUCAACCGAGGGUGAUUUCCCACCUCUUCCAGGGACAUUUGGUAAUGGCAUAUGACAUUUUUCUUUUUUCUUUUUUUUGGGGGGACUGAGUCUCGCUCUAUCACUCAGGCUGGAGUGCAGUGGCGUGAUCUCGGCUCACUGCAAACUCCGCCUCCCGUGUUCACGCCAUUCUCCUGCCUCAGCCUCCUGAGUAGCUGGGACUACAGGCGCCCGCCACCACGCCCGGCUAAUUUUUAUAUUUUUAGUAGAGAUGGGGUUUCAUCAUGUUAGCCAGGCUGGUCUCAAACUCCUGACCCUCAAGUGAUCCACCCGCCUCCCAAAGUGCUGUGAUUACAGGCACAAGCCACUGCGCUGGGCCAAAUUCAACUUUUAAACUCAGAAAUGGGGCUAUUUAGAUUUUCUACUUGCAUCAGUCUUUGUAAUUUGUACCUUGCAAGGUGUUUAAGUUGAACUUAUGGGUAUAAUUUUGAUCAUAAUAUUCCAUCAUUAUUUUGACGUCAUCAAGAUCUAUGAUGGUGCUCCUUUUGUUUUAGUCUCUGUGGUGCAGGCUGGGUCACUGCAGCCUCCGCCUCCUGGCUUCAAGCGAUUCUCUUGCCUCAGCCUCCUGAGUAGCUGGGAUUACAGGCACAUGCCACCACACCUUGCUAAUUUUUAUAUUUUUAGUAGAGAUGAGAUUUUGCCAUGUUGGCCAGGUGGGUCUCAAACUCCUGACCUCAAGUGACCUGCCUGCCUCGUUCUCCCAAAGUGCUGGGACUACAGGUGUGCGCCACUGCGCCUGGCCAAUUCCCUGUAUUUUAAAUGUUUUUUUUUUUCUAUCUUUUCCACCAGCUACUGAGAAGAAAGUGUUAUCCAACUAUGAUUAUGAAUUUAUGUGUUUCUUGCUGGAGUUCUGAAAAUUUUUAUCUAUUUUGAAACUGUUAUGAGCUGCAUAAACAUUUAUAUAAUUCCGGCUUCCUGCUGAAUUGGCUCAUUUAUCAUUAUGAAAUCCUCUUCCUAAUCUCUAGUGUUACUUGCUUGACUUUGAUGUUAAUGUUACCACACUAGCUUUCUCAUUGGUUUGCAUGGUGUUUUUCCAUUCCUUUUUUUUUUUUUUUUUUUUUUUUUUGAGACGGAGUUUUGCUCUUGUUGCCCAGGCUGGAGUGCAGUGGCACGAUCUCGGCUGACUACAACCUCUGCCUCCCGGGUUCAAGCAAUUCUCCUGCCUCAGCCUCCCAAGUGGCUGGGAUUACAGGCAUGUGCCACCACACCUGGCUAAUUUUUUGUAUUUUUAGUAGAGACAGGGUUUCACCAUGUUAGCCAGGCUGGUCUCGAACUCCUGACCUCAGGUGAUCCAUCUGCCUUGGCCUGAUAAAGUGCUGGGAUUACAGGCAUGAGCCACCGCACCUGGCCCCAUUCUUACUUUAACCUGUGUCUUUAUGAAGGGCAUCUCUUGCAAACAGCCUGUGGUUGAGUCCUACAUUAUUUAGGUUGAUAAUUGCUGCCCUGCUUCUCUCCCCUCUCCCUCUGAAACUCCAAUUAUACAUAUAUUAGUCUCACAGGUCGCUGAUACUAUGUUUAGCUUUUCUUAAUUCUUUUUCUCUUUCUGCUUCACUUUAAUUUCUAUGUAGCUAUCUUCAAGCUGAUCCUCUCUUCCACUGGUUCCAGUCCAUAUUAAACCCAUCCAGUGAAACUUUCAUCUUUUUGUUUUAGAAUUCCCAUGAGGUUCUUUAGAGUUUCAGUAUCUUUCUGAAUAUUGAAAACCAUCGCUUUCUAUUAAAUUCCUUAACAUAUUUGUAAGUUGUUUUAAAGCUCUUGUCUGCUAAUUCUAACGUCUGGAUGAUCUGUGGGCCAUUUUUCUCUUGGUCAUGGGUUACAUUUUCUUGGUUUUAUUAUUUUAAAUUUUAUGCUGGAUAUUGUAUGUAGAAGAAAAAAGGCAUGUUAUUUGUUUACUUUGUUUAGUUUCAAUGAGUUCAUGCCUUUUAUCCCAAAAGUCAGCUAGGAUGAGGGCUAUUUAGAUUUUUCUAAGAGUUGAGUUGAGCUGGGGCUGGGAACAGUCUUAAUUAAAUUUUUCUCCACCUUCACAUGGAAUUGAGAGAGCUCACUUCGCCCUUGAUGCCCCAACCUUCUGCACCUGCCAUCAGACUAGUUCCUUUGAUGUUGUCAUUGAGUUUGAGUGAGUUGGGUUGUGGCUUUAGAUGUUUAUGGUCUUUCUUUGUAUUCAACUCCAGUGGGGCCCAGGAAUCUGAGCAUCAUAAGACUUAUACACACUUCCUCAGCAGAAUUCCUGGGACUAAUGUGAGGAUAACUGUUGGAUCAAGCAGUUGACUUAUGUGUUGGGGAUUCUUCAAGACUACACUACCUAUUGGCAGCCCAUGCUGUUAUUAAAUGCCUGGAUGGUUUCUUCUUAGCUGUGCAAAAAGUCUGUCCACCUAUGAAAACUCUUCCACUCACCUUACCCAGAUUAAGCACUUACCCACAGAUAUAAAAACAUUCAUGGCCGGGUGCGGUGGCUCAUGCCUGUAAUCCCAGCACUUUGCGAGGCCAAGGCGGGUGGAUCAUGAGGUCAGGAGAUCGAGACCAUCCUGGCUAACACGGUGAAACACUGUCUCUACUGAAAAUACACACACACGCGCGAAAAAAAUUAGCCGGGCGUGGUAGCGGGCGCCUGCUGUAGUCCCAGCUACUCGGGAGGCUGAGGCAAGAGAAUGGCGUGAACCCGGGAGGCAGAGCUUGCAGUGAGCCGAGAUCACGCCACUGCACUCCAGCCUGGGCGACAGAGCGAGACUCCAUCUCAAAAAAAACAAAAACAAAAAAACCCCACAAAACAUUCAUGACGUUGUGCCCACUGGUCUUCAGUAACUUUAUAAGAAAGUGUGGUUUUUAUUUUAUUCAUUUCAAAAGCUCCCGCUACCAUCAAAGCUGGGAGGUUUGUAUCCUUCAACAUUCUGACUAGAAGAAAAAUUCUGCUGUGAAGCAUUUGUGAAUCCCAAUGCCUGGAUGCACCCAAGACCAAGUAAGUCACCAAGACCAAGUAAGUCAGAAUCUCUGGAGGAGGAACUCAGACGGGAGCGUUUUCUCAUGUUCCCCAAAUGAUUCAAAUAUACAGCCUGGGUCUAUAACCACUGAUUGUGGCCCCAUGAGCUGUAACAGCCUUCUUUUGUGAGUUAUAGAAUUGAUUUUGGAAUCUUCCUCCCUCCAUUUGCGAUUUAUGGAAAGCUUAGAACAGUCGCAUCUCUGAGACUAUUUUCUUACCUAUAAAGUCGUGGAUAUUAUAUUAGAGCAUUCCUUUUUUGUUUGAGUCCGAGUCUCGCUCUGUCACGGAGGCUGGAGCGCAGUGGCAUGAUCUCGACUCUCUGCAGCCUCCACCUCUGCCUCCUGGGUUCAAGCGAUUCUGCUGCCUCAGCCUCUAGAGUAGCUGGGACCACAGGGGCGUGCCACCAUGUCUGGCUAAUUUUUGUAUUUUUUAAUGGGGAUGGGGUUUCACCAUGUUGCCCAAGCUGGGCUCAAACUCCUGACUUCAGGUGAUUCAUCUGCCUUGGCCUCCCAAAGUGCUGGGUUACAGGCGUGAGCCACUGUGUCUGGCCGCAUUCCUUUUUUUAAUGGCUGCGAGAAGAAAGGAUGUUAUUAUGAAUGGAAAGGUCUUAAGUCUGAAGGGCCAUGAAGCUGAUGGAUUGCUAAGGUAAAGGGAGGGGCCUUUCCUUGUACCUGUGAGGCUCUGAUUACUUACUUCUCAACACAGGCGUGGCCACUGGUGGUGGCCCAGAAUCCCUGCACUAGAAAGAUGAGGGAUGUUGUCCGCGUUGAGGUUAUCAGGUUGACCAGGGCUGCAAUGGCGGCCACCUUGACAUAAUCGUCACCUCCGGCCUUGUAGGAGGUGAAGGUGAUGAUGGUCCCCAUGCCCAGGCUCAGGGAAGAGGGUACAUGGCCCCUGCUUGAUGCCACAGGUCCAGGGAGGAUAAGGCAGAGAGCUGUGGGUGACUGAGAAGUUUUUAGGAGUGGGCUUGGAAGGGUAGGACUACCAGUAAAUAAGCAGGCUAAGGGGUCGGCUAAGGUAGAGAGCAAAAGGAUAAAAGGGAGGCUGGGGGCAGAAGGAAAGGAGAUGUGGGGGAAGGAGACUCUGAGGUCUUGAGAGUCGAGAGAGGGAGAAGGUUUGGAGUCCCGGGCCUCACCUCUGUGGUGAUCACACGUCUGAGGCUCGUGACCACACCUUCCAGGAAGAGGCAGAGGAGGAUGACGGAGGGGAGGAGAGGAAGACAGAGGUGAGCAUCAGCAGGGGCCUCCCGGUCAGGAGUAGAAAUAUGAACGGUGUCAAGAUGGCCCAGAAGUAACACGAUGGAAUUAUGGGAAGACGAUUCUAAGGAGACAAUAUUGUGGUUUGGAGCAAACAAUAAGCUGCCCAGGAGUCAGGGGCGAGACUCCAAGUAAAGAUGGCUUUGAAAGGGUGGGUAGUUGGACACUUAAUUCCCCGGCCUUGGAUUUACGGCUUAUGUGUGAGUUUAAGGAGAGGAAAAGAAACUGAGAAGAGACUUUGAGAGAGAAUAACAUAACUAAGAGGAAUUUUAGUGAUUUGCCCCGGAGGUAGUUGAGCUAUGGCCCCUCUCUCUGCAUAUCCCUGUCAAACCUUUAGUAAAGUCUACUUUUGUAGGAGUGGUUUAUUUUUGGAGGCUGUGAAGAGAUGGCGAGCUAAGACUCCAGGGGUGGAGAUGGAUGACGUGAAAGGUGACCACCUGCAUGAAUGCAGGGACCAGGAGGUACAGGUAGAGUUUACCAAAAUAAUCUGAUAAACACACUGAAAUACAUUUUCUUUUCUUUUUUUUUUAAGAUGGGGUCUUGCUCUGUCGCCCAGGCUGGUAUGCAGUGGCGCGAUCUCAGCUCACUGCAACCUCUGCCUCUAGGGUUCGAGCGAUUCUCCUGCCUCAGCCUCUCGAGUAGCUGGGACUACAGGCAUGCACCACCACACAUGGCUAAUUUUUGUAUUUUUAGUAGAGAUGGGGUUUCACCAUAUUGACCAGGCUGGUCUUGAACUCCUGGGCUCAAUCGAUCCUCCCACCUUGGUCUCCCAGUGUACUGGGAUUACAGGUGUGAGCCACUGCACCCGGCCUGAAAUACAUUUUCUAUGUAAAGGGAGCAUGAUCCAGAUGCCAAGGAGAUGGAUUGAAAGAAAAUACUCCCAGGCUGGGUAUGGUGGUUCACACCUAUAAUCCAGGCACUUUGGGAGGUGGGUAGAUCACUUGAGGUCAGGAGUUCAAGACCAGCCUGGCCGACAUGGUGAAACCCCAUCCCUACUAAAAAAUAUAAAAGUUAGCUGGGUGUGGUCAUGGGCACCUAUAGUCGCAGCUACUCAGGAGGCUGAGGCAGGAGAAUUGCUGGAACCUGGGAGGCGGAGGUUGCAGUGAGCCAAGAUCAUGCCAUUGCACUCCACCUGGGUAACAGAGCAAGACUCCAUCUUAAAAAAAAAACAAAAAACGCUGGACGUGGUGACUCAUGGCUGUAAUCCCAGCACUUUGGGAGGCCGAGGCGGGUGAUCACGAGGUCAAGAGAUCAAGACCAUCCUGGCUAACAUGGUGAAACCCCGUCUCUACUAAAAUUAGCUGGGCAUGGUGGCAUGUGCCUGUAGUCCCAGCUACUCAGGAGGCUGAGGUAGGAGAAUCGCUUGAAUCCAGGAGGCGGAGGCUGCAGUGAGCCGAGAGCACACUGUUGCACUCCAGCCUGGCAACACAGUGAGACUCCGUCUCAAAAAAAUAAAGAAAUACAAAAAAUUACCUGGCAUGGUGGUGGGUGCCUGUAAUCCCAGCUACUCAGGAGGCUGAGGCAGGAGAAUCACUUGAGCCUGGGAGGCAGAGGUUGCAGUGAGUUGAGAUAGCACCAUUGCACUCCAGCUUAGGCAACAAGAGCAAAACUCAGUCUCAAAAAAAAAAAAAAAAAAAAGCUCCAAAUGGGUACCUGGAAUGGAAUUGGUGCCACUCAGCUCCUUUAGGGGUUAACAUGUUGUCAAAAUGCAGGGAGGUGGAGGUUGCAGGACUCAGCUGGGGGGACUGUGGUCUGAUCUGAAAGGUUGCCCACAGGUGUCUGCCUGCAGCGAUGUGGGGAUCUGGUUGAUAGUGAGGCAUUUCUUCACGCUGUCAAUGGGAAGCAGUUCUCUGUAGAGAGACCUGGCCGACUUAGCUUGUCUGAGGAGAGUACAGAAUCUUCCUCGGACCCCUGGAGGGAGACGCUGGGUGGCCACAUCUGAGUCUAGCUCCAUCAUGCAGGCUAGAGUGCAGUGGCGCGAUCUCAGCUCACUGCAACCUCCACCUCCCAGGUUCAAGUGAUUCUCCUGCCUCAGCCUGAGGUCAAGAGUUCAAGACUAGCCUGGCCAACAUGGCAAAACUACUAAAAAUACAAAAAUUAGCCGGGUGUGGUGGCAGGUGCCUGUAAUCCCAGCCAUUUGGGAGGCUGAGGCAUAUCUGAGCUUGUCCUCAGGGUGGGUGGAAGGGUCACAGGGAUUGCAGAAGAGCAGUCAACAGGAAGGAGUUGGGUUGUGUUGGGGUGGAGAGUGUGGAAGUCUUCGGAUUUGCAAAGGUGACAGGGUAGUGGGGCUGGCGGUCAGGGGAGCUUACCGGCGUUGAAAUCCAAAUCCCUGUGAUCACGACUGAGAAGACAACCCAGGCUGCGGUUCAGGACGAGGGCUUCAGCCGCUUCUUCACUGUGGUCCGAGGCAUGGAGGGUAGUGUGGUACAAGAAGUACUGGUGGGCCCAGUCUGAAGGCAAGAGACGUCUCGGGGAGGGGACUCAGGUACCACCUUGCUCGGUGCCUGCUUCCGUUCACUUCCUCCCCUUGGUGUCCCUGCCUCCCUUGGCCCUGCUGGCCCCUCUCCUCACCAGUGACACUGAUGUUCUUCACCAGUGGGCAGUGGUCCCAGGGCAGGGGGUGAGCAAAGGAGUAGAAGAAAUUCCAGGAGAUGAUGGUGCUGUUGUACAAGCUCACCGAGGCGCACACCUGGGGGUGGACACGGUGGGCAGAGACCUGGAGACCACAGAGGGAGAUCGGGGAUGGCCUGGGGCUGGGUCCCUCAUUUACCAGACUGUGAGCAUAGCUCAUGCUGCACAGCCAGGGGACAAGCUGCUUCCAGACCCGGAUGUUGUCCACAUGCAGCCACUGCCCCAUGAUCACCUCCAUGUAUAAGAGCGGGAUCCCGAAUAAGAGAAGCAUGAAGAAGUACAUCAGGAUGAAGCUGCCUGGGAAGGGAGCCAGGGGCUGUGCUCAGGCAGCCAGGAGUCCUGGCCCUGUCCCCAUUUUCCCCUAGGAGCCCACGUGCCCAACCCCAGCUUUCUCCUCCUUCAGGGCCCAGGACUCCAAGCUCCCAGCCUUGAAACUCCUUCCUUAAGCUCAGGACCCAGGCCCCUGGCCUUACCUCCUCCGUUCUGGUGACACAGGUAAGGAGAACGCCACACGCUGCCCAGCCCGACAGAGAAGGCAAUCUGGAUCAAGAUGCUCUCAGUGUUUUUAGGUUGAACGAAGUAGUUUUGGGUCUUGGUGGCCUGGAUCUCCUCGGUCUUGAGCCUCCAGGACAGGGAGUUGGGGGUCUGGAAUUUCUUAGAAGACUCUUUCUCUGUCAGAUAAUUCCUCAAGGGACUCCGUGGCUUUCUUCUUUCAGGCCCGGUAAAUCCUGAGAAAAUCUUGGGUCACCAAGAGCAGCAGAAUUUAAAGGACACGUCUCAGGUACCAGGCUGUGAAAUUUCAUAACCAGGGCUUUGGAGAAAUGAGGGCCAGAGUUUAAAUCUUGGCCCUUCUCCUUAUGAGUUACUAACUUAUGGGCAAUAUACAUAUAUAUUUUUUGAGAUGGGGUCUUACUCUGCCGCCCAGGCUGGAGUGCAGUGGCAUGAUCUCAGCUCACUGCAACCUCCGCCUCCCAGGUUCAAGGGAUUCUCCUGCCUCACGAGUAGCUGGGAUUACAGGUGUGUGCUACUAUGUCAGAUAAUUUUUGUAUUUCUAGUAGAGACAGGGUUUUGCCAUGUUGCCCAGGCUGGUCUCAGAACUCCUGACCUCAAGUGAUCUGCCUGUCUCGGCCUCCCAAAGUGCUGGGAUUACAGGUGUGAGCCGCCACACCCAGUUCUGUUUUUCUCAUCUUAAAAGCAGCGGUGAAUUUCAAAAUAUUUAAUAAAAGCUAUGGUGUGAGCACUCACCAAUCAGAAUGAAUGCCAGCCAUAAACACUGGAGUAUCAGCUGAACACCAGUCCUGUCUGAAAUGAUUAAAAUAACACAAUGGAAUAUUGAGUGCCAAGAGCACAGUAAACAAUGGAUACACUCAGGUUUCUUUCCCGUUGACUUCUGGUGUACUUGGAAACUUUUAGGCCCAACUAAUGCACAUAGACUUCUAGGCCAGGUUUUACAAACACAGCUGUUUAUCACAGUCACUGGGGGAGCUCUAAAAUGAUAGAGAUUCCUGCCUUCCAUUCUGCUAGCCUCGCUCCUCUAGAUUAAGUCUAAGGUGAGGAUAGAGAUGGGUAGAAUUUUUUUUCUUUUGAGACACAGUCUCACUCUGUCGCCCAGGCUGGAGUGCAGUGGUGUGAUCUUGGCUCACUGCACCCUCUGCCACCCAGGUUCUAGCGAUUCUUCUGCCUCAGCCUCCCGAGUAGCUGGGAUUACAGGCACGCACCACCACACCCGGCUAAUUUUUAUAUUUGUAGUACAGACAGGGUUUCACCAUGUUGGCCAGGCUGGUCUUGAACUCCUGACCUCAUGAUCCACCCACCUUGGCCUCCCAAAGUACUGGGAUUACAGGUAUGAGCCACUGCGCCCAGCCACGAUGGGUAGACUUUAAAAGCUUCGUUGGGAUUCCACCUUUGGAAAGGCAGCAUGAGGAGCUCUGUGGACCCACUCCCUAGUAAAACAAGUCAACUUGUGAGAAAUAUAAAGAAAAACAUUUACGGUCUCUAGAAAUUGUCCUAAGGGCAUAUAGCAAGUGACAAAAUAUUUAUUCAAGAAAAUAUACUAAAAUUCUGGGCAGGCACGGUGGCUCACACCUGUAAUCCCAGCACUUUGGAAGGCCAAGGCAGGCAGGUCACUUGAGGUCAGGAGUUUGAGAUCAGCCUGGCCAACACGGCAAAACCCUAUCUCUACUAAAAAUACAAAAAUUAGCGAGGCACGUGCUUGUAAUCCUAGCUACUCGGGAGGAUGAGGCAGGAGAAUUGCUUGAACCCGGGAGGUGGAGGUUGCAGUGAGCCAAGAUCACGCCACUGCACUCCAGCCUGGGUGACAGCAAGGCUCCGUAUUAAAAAAAAAAAUUUAUAUAUAUAUACACACACACACACACACACACACACACACACACACACGGCUCUUUCUCUGCCUUGCUUCCAGUUGAAGGCUAUAGUAUCUUCCCAGGAGGGACAGGCCACCAGCAUUUCUCAUUCCUCUCCAGCUACCUGUUGCAAGUGUGGUAAAAAGGUCAGGAGCUCCCUUCUUCUAUCCAGUACUGCUCCUCCCCUCUUUUAGGGCAGAGGCUCCACCCCAGCCAUUUGAGAAUGCUGGAGCCCUGAUCUCCCCUGGCCCUAGCUCUUGUGUAAGGCUAAGGUUACAUUCCAGGAGAGGCAAGUUGAUAAGAAAGUUUAAUGCCCCAUCCAGCAACCUGCUGCUAAGGCAGCUGUGUCGCUCAGAGAGAAAUAGGCCACUGUCCCUACCCAUCUCUGGAGAUUUUACUCAGGGAGAAAGCCAAGCCUUCAGAACAAAGAGCUCUGAAAGUCUCUCCCCAAAGAACUGACUUGACUUGAAACAGCGUGGGAGAGUUCAAGCCUAAGGGCAUGCUCGAAAAUGGUGGAGGAGGUUCUGUUGGUAAGUAAUUAAGAGGAAGCUGGUAGCUUCAUGAGACACAAGCUAAACCACAGGCCAACUAGUAUACCAGAGAGAAUCAGGGAAACAGCUAAGAAGGUCCCUCCUGGGUUCAGAACAACUCUCAAACACCAACCUCUUAAACUACUCCUUUAAGGGAGCCUAAAUUUAAGCGGACCAGAUGCAGAACAAUUUAUGCCUCAGAGCAUUGUCAAAAACAAUAAUCAGGUGGCAAUUAGCGGAGCCUAAAAGCUGAGUGUGGUGAGGGAAAGAGACAGGAGAGCCCACCUAAAACCACUGUCAUCCUAGGGUGACAAUGCAUGUCUAAAGCUGUGCCCUUUGAGGAAUAUACAUUAUGACCAGCAGGAUUUAUUCCAGGAAUGCAAGGUUAGCUUAAUAUCUGAAAAUCAAUGUUAUAUCAAUAGAAUAAAGAACAAAACCCAAUAAAGAACAAAACCCAUAUGAUCAUCACAGUAGAUAUAUAAAGAGCACUUGACAAAAUCCAACAUCUUUCAUGAUAAACACUCAACAAACCUAGAAAUAGAAGGAAAUCUUGACUUGAUAAAGGGAAUCUACAAAAAAAAUCUAUGGUUAACAUCAUACUUAAUGGUGAAAACUGAAUCCUUUCCAAGAUCAGGAAUAAGACAUGAGUGUUUUUCUCACCACUUCUGUUCAAUAUUGUACUGGAGAUUCUAGCCAGAGAAAUUAGGCAAGACAAUAAAAUAAAAGACAUCAAGAAUGAAAAAGAAAUAAACUAUCUCUCUUCCCAUAUAACAUGAUCUUCUAUAAAGAAAAUCCUAAGGAAUCCACUAAACUAUUAGAACUCCAAUAGGUUCAGUAAGGUUGCAGAAUACAAGAUCAAUAUACAAAAAUUGUAUUUCUAUAUACUUGCAAAAAAUCCAAAAUUUAAGAAAACUGUUCCAUAUAUGAUAGUAUCUGAUACAGUUUGGAUGUUUGUCCCCUCCAAAUCUCAUGUUGAAAUGUAAUCCCUACUGUUGGAGGUGGGGCCUGGUGAGAGGUGUUUGGGUCAUGGGGCCAGAUCUCUGAUGAAUGGCUUGUUGCUGACCUCUUGAAAGUGAAUGGCUUCUUGUGAGAUCUGGUUAAGAGUGUGUGGCUCUUCCUCCUCUCUCUCUUGCUUCUGCUCGUGUGUAGUAGAAGUGACAUGCUGGCUCUUUAUGACCUUCCACCAAGAUUUUAAGUGUCCUGAGGCCUUCAGCAGAAGCAGAUGCUAGCACUAUGCUUCCUGUAUAUCCUGCAGAACCGUGUGCCAAAAUAAAACCUCUUUUCUUUAGAAAUUAAAGCAGCAUGGGACUGGUAUAAGGAUGCACAAUAGACCAAUAGGAAUACCAGUCAGGUAUUCCUUUAUAGCAAUGCAAAAGUGGCCUAAUUCAGUGUCAAAAAAAAUAAAAUACUUAGUAAUACAUUUAAGAAAAGGACAAACUUUUAUACUCUGAAAAUUACAAAACGUGUUGAAAGAAGAUUUAAUGAAAAGAAAUCCCAUGUUUAUGAAUCAGAAAACUAAGUAUUAAGAUGGCAAUAUUUCCCAAGUUGAUCUAUAGAAUUAAUGCAGUCCAUCUCAAAAUCCCUAGCUGGCUUCUUUGCAGAAAAUGACCAGCUGAUGAUAUAAUUCAUCUGGAAAUUAAAGGGGGCCCAGAAUAGCCAAAACAAACUUGACAAAGAACAAUGUCGGAGGACUCAUGCCUCCUGAUUUCAAAACUUAUUAUACUGCUACAGUAAUUAAAGCUGCAUGGCACUGGUACAAGAAUGCAUAUAAACCAACAGGAUACCAUAGGAUAGAAUAGCCCAGAAAUAAACCUUUAUGUAUAUAGUCAAUUUUCAACAAGAGUGCCAAGAGUACUCAAUGAGAAAAAGACAGUUUCUCCAACAGAUAUUGGGAAAAUUGGAUAUCCACAUGCAAAAAAAAUCACCUUGGAUCCUUACACUAUACACAAUAAUUAACAAAAGGGAUAAAAGAGCUACAUGUAAGAGCAAAAACUAUAAACCUUUUAGAAGAAAAUGUUGGGGGGCAAAUCUCUAUGACCUUGGUUUGGCAAUGGUUUCUUAAAUAUGACACCAAAAUUUGUCCUUUUGUGCAUCAAAAGACAUUAUCAGAGAGUGAAAAGAUAACCCAUCAAAUGGGAGAAAACAUUUGCAAAUCAAGUAUUUGGUAAGAUUCUAGUAUCCAGAAUAUAAAAAUAACUCCUACAACUGAAAAAAAACUAAACUCAGUUAAAAAAAAUGGGCAAAGUAUGUUAAUUAGCCCUAUUGCGCCAUUUCACUACAUAUACAUGUUCCAAAACAUCACGUUGUACAUGAUAAAUAUAUAUAAUUUGCAUCUGUUACUUUAAAAAUCAAUUUUUUAAAAAGGGCAAAGGACAUCAAUAGACAUUUCUUCCAAGAAGAUAAACAGAUGGCCAAAAAGCAGAUGAAAAGAUGCUCAACAUUGCUAAUCACUAGAGGAAGGCAAAUCAAGACCAGAGUUACCAUUUCACACUGACGAAGAUGGCUACAAGAAAAAAAAAAAAAAAUCAGUGGGAAAUAACAACUGCUGGGGAGGAUGUGGAGAAAUUAGAAUCAUUAUGCAUUGAGGAUAAGAAUGUCCACUGGAGCAGCCAUGGUAAAAACCAGUUUGGCAGUUCCUCAAAAAGUAAAACAAUUACCAUUGGAUCCAACAAUUCCACUUCCGGGUACAUACACACCUGACUUGAAAGGAAGAACUCAGGACGGGCGCAGUGGCUCACCCCUGUAAUCCCAGCACUUUGGGAGGCCGAGGCGGGUGGAUCACAAGGUCAGGAGAUUGAGACCAUCCUGGCUAACACAGUGAAACCCUGUCUCUACUAAAAAUACAAAAAAUUAGCCAGGCAUGGUGGCAGGCGCCUGUAGUCCCAGCUACUCGGGAGGCUGAGGCAGGAGAAUGGUGUGAACCUGGGAGGCAGAGCUUGCAGUGAGCCAAGAUCGCGCCACUGCACUCCAGCCUGGGCAACAGAGCAAGACUCCGUCUCAAAAAAAAAAAAAAAAAAAAGAUUUAAAAAAGAAUAAACUCUGGUAUACCCUACAAUGGAAUAUUAUUCAUCUAUAAAAAAUGAAAUUCAGAUACAUGCUAUAACAUGGAUGAGCCUUGAAAACAUGUUAAAUGAAAUAAGCCAGACACAAAAAGACAAAUAUUAUGAUUCUAUUUAUAUGAAAUAUCUAGAAUAGGCAAAUUCAUAGAGACAGCAUAUUAGAGGUUACUAGGGGGGUGCUGGGCAGAGGGAGAGGAAUUACUGCUUCCCAGGUGCAGAGUUUCUAUUUGGGGUGUUGACAUGUUUUGGAACUAGAUAGAGAUAGUGGUUGCAUAACAUUGUGAAAGUACCAAAUGCCACUGAAGUGUUUCUUUAAAAUGGCUAAUUUUAUGUUAUGUGGAUUUCACCUCAAUAAAAAUAAUAAAAGAUGAUGAAAUAAUGCUACCAGAUAGAUAAAAGUUGGGAGAAUUUGUCAUUAGCACAUCAGCACUGCAAAAAAUAUUAAAAAUCUUUGGGCUGAAGGAAUAUUAUUGGAGCUGGAAAGAGAUGUAAGAGUAAAAUAAGAGACGCAGAAACACAUACUGCGUGAUUUCACUCAUACGUGGAAUCUGAAAAAGUUGAUCUAGAAGUAGAGACUAAAAUGGUGGUUACCAGAGUGGGGAUGAUGGGGGAGUGGGGUGCUGGGGAGUUGUUGGUCAAAUAAUACAAAAUUUCAGUUAGAUAAAAGGAAUAGGUUUAAGAUAACUAUCAUUCAACAUGGUGACUAAAGUUAAUAACUACAUUGUAACCUUGAAAAAUGCUGAGAUUUUAAAUAUUCUCACCACAAAAAUAAUAGAUAUGUAAAUUAGCUACAUUUAGCAUUCCACAAUGUAUAUAUAUUUCAAAACAUCAUAUUGAACAUAAAUACAUAUAAUUUCAUCUGUCAGUUAAAAAAUAAUAACAUAAAAUUUAGAAAGGAAUAAAGAAAACCUGAAAGGGUGACCCAGCUACUACCUAGGUCAAAGUAGUCCUAGCUACUCAGGAGGCUGAGGAGGGAGGAUCACUUGAGCCCAGAAGUUUUGAGGCUGCAGUGAGCUGAUCAUGCCAUUGCACUCCAGUUUGGGCAACAGAGCAAGACCCUGUAGGCAAAUUUGAGACUAAUGAGUGCUUAAAGUAACAAUAGCAGCAAUGUAUUGUGGGGUUCAUAAUAUGUAGAAGAAAAAUAUUGGAGAACAAUUGCAAAAAAAAAUGGUGGGAAAAGUAGAAAUAGAAGGCAACUUCCUUAAUCUACAGCUUCCUUAAGCCUAUAACUAACAUCACACUAAACAAUGAAAUAUGAAUGCUUUUCUCUUGAGUUUGGGGACAAGAUAAGGAUGUUCAUUCCACAUUGUAUUAAAGGUCCUAGCCUGUACAAUAAGGCAAGAAAAGUAUAAAGAUCAAAAUAAAUAAAACUUUCCUUAUUUAAAGGUGAUGUAAGUAUACUGUCAAGAGAUCGUGUAUGUAGCUGGGCACAGUGGCUCAUGCUUAUAAUCCUAGUACUGUGAGGCAGGAGGAUCAGUUGAGGCCAGGAGCUCAAGACCAGCCUGGGCAACAUAGCAAAACUCCAUUUCUACAAAAAUUAAAAUAAAAAAUUAGCCAGAUGUGGUGGUACAUGCCUGUAGUCCUAGCUACUCAGGAGGCUGAGGAGAGAGGAUCUCUUGAGCCCAGGAGUUUGAGGCUGCAGUGAGCUGAUCAUGCCACUGCAUUCCAGCUUGGACAAAAGAGUAAGACCCUCUCUCAGGAAAAAAAAAAAAACCCAGAUAUUGUAUAUGUAAAAAGAAUCUACGAAUGGAUGGAAUUAAGUUUGUAAUCAAAUUUAGCAAAGUUCCUAGAUAUAUAAGGCGAUUGUACAAAAAAUUAUAUUUUUAUAUACUAGCAACAAAUAAUUGGAAAAUACUAUUUUAAAACAUCAAAGACAUUUAAUACUUAGUAAUCAAUGUAGUUAAAAUGUGUAAGACCUCGCUGAAAACUACAAAACAAUGCAAAAGACUUAGAGAAUUUUACCAUGUUCAUGAGUUGGCAAGUUGAACAUUUUUACAACGUCAAUUAUCCCCAAAUUGAUCUACAGAUUCAGGGCAAUCUUAAACACAAAAUCCCAUAUUGUUGGGGUUUUCUUUGGAAACAGACAAGCUCGUUCUAAAAUUAUAUGGAACGCCAAAGACCUUAGAAUGGCUAAGGCUAUCUUGAAGAAGACCAAAGUUGGAAGACUUAACUUACCGUGGACUUAUCUUACUAUCUUAAGAUUUGCUCU